rnacentral:lncRNA from 1 species
CCAUUCGCUUCUCUUCGAUAAGACUCAACUCAUUGAACCUUGUCCGAACCCAUUCAGCUUCGUCUAACUUGACAUCCAAUAUGACUCUUAGAGAAGGAAUCUCCACUUCAAUAGGUAGGACUGCUUCCAUACCAUACACAAGGGAAUAAGGGGUUGCCCCUGUCGAUGUACGUAUUAAAGUACGGUACCCAUGCAAGGCGAAGGGUAGCAUCUCAUGCCAAUCUCUAUACG